ACUCGGUUCAUUUCUUCAAUCCUUCUAUCUCCAUGUUGAUUCAAUUGUGUUCCUGUUCAACCCUCUGUUCUACAACAGUGAGCCCUUUUGGAGUGAUCGUUUCAAACAUCACCGCCUCCGUAGACAACUUGAGGGUGAAGAACACAUUGACCUUGGGUCUGGAGAGCCGGGAGAGCAGCACGCCCACUGUUUCAUGGCAGGCCACAGCUCUUGGGCACGACGAGGCAUUCAUCUUGUUUGGGACAACUUCCUGACCUCGGAGGUGGAGAGAGCCGUGGGAUGCAUCGGUGGGUCCCCUGGUUUCAAAGAAGCUCACAUUCCAUUUGGCAGAGGGCUAGAGGCCUGGGUGGUGUUGAAUUGGGUCAUUUGCUAUUAAGGAAAUGAGGGGUUGAGGUGCCCCAGACAACCAGGCAGAUGGGACCCCUGUCUUCAAUCGGGAGUUGGGUGGUUUUAUGCGGAGUCAUACACGGGGAAACAAUGAAUGCCUAUGUAUCAGAUGAAUCCACCAAGGCCAGGUGCAAGGACGUUUGCUAAGAGAACUCUUCCCGCGUGCCUCUCUUGCUGACACAAUGUGUCCUAGAGGGUUGUGCACGACAGCUGGUAACGCGCGCACACGUAACCGAUAACUUCGACCGCAUUGCCUCCUCUUCUUAUGUUGAAGAAUGAGGAGUGUAGACACUUAAAAUUGAAAUAAAGUGUCCCAGCUGGGUUUGCA
rnacentral:lncRNA from 1 species